rnacentral:rRNA from 2 species
CUGCUAAUACCGGAUGUGCCGAGAGGUGAAAGGCUUGCUGCCUGAAGAUGAGCUCGCGUCUGAUUAGCUAGUUGGUGUGGUAAGAGCGCACCAAGGCGACGAUCAGUAGCUGGUUUGAGAGGAUGAUCAGCCACACUGGGACUGAGACCCGGCCCAGACUCCUACGGGAGGCAGCAGUGGGGAAUUUUCCGCAAUGGGCGAAAGCCUGACGGAGCAAUACCGCGUGAGGGAGGAAGGCUCUUGGGUUGUAAACCUCUUUUCUCAAGGAAUAAGUUCUGAAGGUACUUGAGGAAUCAGCAUCGGCUAACUCCGUGCCAGCAGCCGCGGUAAUACGGAGGAUGCAAGCGUUAUCCGGAAUGAUUGGGCGUAAAGCGUCCGCAGGUGGCCCUGUAAGUCUGCUGUUAAAGAGCAAAGCUUAACUUUGUAAAAGCAGUGGAAACUACAGAGCUAGAGUGCGUUCGGGGUAGAGGGAAUUCCUGGUGUAGCGGUGAAAUGCGUAGAGAUCAGGAAGAACACCGGUGGCGAAGGCGCUCUACUAGGCCGCAACUGACACUGAGGGACGAAAGCUAGGGGAGCGAAUGGGAUUAGAUACCCCAGUAGUCCUAGCCGUAAACGAUGGAUACUAGGCGUUGCGAGUAUCGACCCUCGCAGUGCCGGAGCCAACGCGUUAAGUAUCCCGCCUGGGGAGUACGCACGCAAGUGUGAAACUCAAAGGAAUUGACGGGGGCCCGCACAAGCGGUGGAGUAUGUGGUUUAAUUCGAUGCAACGCGAAGAACCUUACCAAGACUUGACAUGUCGCGAAUCCUGCUGAAAGGUGGGAGUGCCUUCGGGAGCGCGAACACAGGUGGUGCAUGGCUGUCGUCAGCUCGUGUCGUGAGAUGUUGGGUUAAGUCCCGCAACGAGCGCAACCCUCGUUUUUAGUUGCCAGCAUUAAGUUGGGCACUCUAGAGAGACUGCCGGUGACAAACCGGAGGAAGGUGGGGAUGACGUCAAGUCAGCAUGCCCCUUACGUCUUGGGCUACACACGUACUACAAUGCGUCGAACAGAGGGCAGCAAGCCGGCAACGGCAAGCAAAUCCCGGAAAUCGGCGCUCAGUUCAGAUCGAAGGCUGCAACUCGCCUUCGUGAAGGAGGAAUCGCUAGUAAUUGCAGGUCAGCAUACUGCAGUGAAUUCGUUCCCGGGCCUUGUACACACCGCCCGUCACACCAUGGAAGCUGGCAACGCCCGAAGUCAUUACCCCAACUUUUCAAAGAGGGGGAUGCCUAAGGCAGUGCUGGUGACUGGGGUGAAGUCGUAACAAGGUAGCCGUACCGGAAGGUGUGGCUGGAUCACCUCCUUUUAGGGAGACCUACCCAACUUCAGAACUCUCAAAAGCAACAGUGACUACAGAGACAUGAUGAGUCUACACUCUACCGUACGGUCGGUCGAGAUUUGUGUAGAAGC